rnacentral:rRNA from 1 species
UACGUAGGGGGCAAGCGUUGUCCGGAUUCAUUGGGCGUAAAGAGCGUGUAGGCGGCCAGGUAGGUCGGUUGUGAAAACUGGAGGCUCAACCUUCAGAGGUCGACCGAAACCAUCUGGCUAGAGUCCGGGAGAGGAGAGUGGAAUUCCUGGUGUAGCGGUGAAAUGCGUAGAUAUCUGGAGGAACACCGGUGGCGAAGGCGGCAUCCUGGACCGGUAUUGACGCUGAGGCGCGAAAGCCAGGGGAGCAAACGGG